GAGUUUGAUCAUGGCUCAGGACGAACGCUGGCGGCGUGCCUAACACAUGCAAGUCGAACGGAGAACUCGAAAAGCUUGCUUUGAGAGUUCUUAGUGGCGGACGGGUGAGUAACGCGUUGGGCAACCUCCCCCUUAAACCGGGACAACCCUUGGAAACGAGGGCUAAUACCGGGAUACGCUUUUCUGAGGACAUCCCCGGGAAAGGAAAGGCGGCCUCUGAAGAUGCUGCCGAUAAGGGAUGG
rnacentral:rRNA from 1 species